GAUCCUGGCUCAGAUUGAACGCUGGCGGCAGGCCUAACACAUGCAAGUCGAACGGUAACAGGAAGAAGCUUGCUUCUUUGCUGACGAGUGGCGGACGGGUGAGUAAUGUCUGGGAAACUGCCUGAUGGAGGGGGAUAACUACUGGAAACGGUAGCUAAUACCGCAUAACGUCGCAAGACCAAAGAGGGGGGACCUUACGGGCCUCUUGCCAUCGGAUGUGGCCCCACGGAUGGGGAUUAGCUAGUUAGGUGGGGG
rnacentral:rRNA from 1 species